rnacentral:misc_RNA from 1 species
UUUUGGNNUAACUCUUCAUGGCGGGCUCCCUGCGCUUCGGCGUGGCCAACCGUCAUGGGGUAGUCUUUUCACUCUCCCUCCCGUCAUGGGGUUGGGAUGUUGUUGUUGGUUGCCUGCGCUGUUCUACCAUGUUGGUAGGAAUACUAGACCCUAUAUUUUAUUAUGGCUCUCCUGUUGAUAGUGUUCUGUCGAUAGGGCAGCUGAGGCAUCGACAAAAUUCCUUUUCUUGCAACGGCUGAAUCUAACAGCCAAGGCACUGCAUUGGAAUGUUUGUUGGGUCUCACGGAUGUUGUGCCUAUUAUUUGAGCUCUGUUGGUUCCUUGAUCCUCAGGCUUGGUGAUGGCCCCAUGUAUGCGUGUAUCAUUACUCCAGCGCUCAAUUAAAGUGUUCCACUUGUAUUGAAGCGUGCGAGGAACAUUCAUGUGCAUGUGGAGUGGCUAUCUUACUCGAACGACCCGUGAUUGCUGAUUCAUGCUGUUAUGUUGGCCUUCCCUCUUUGGUUGGCGCUUCUUGCAGUGUGCGUCGGUUUUCGCUUAAGAUGUGC